AUGCAAGUGUUCUUGAAGCUUUGCCUCGGUCUCGUAUUGCUUGUAGCACAGUAUGCACCUGGAAUUGCGGUUCCUAGUUCAGAUUGCCCAAGGCAGUGUGGUACUGUUGAGAUACCGUAUCCGUUCGGUAUCGGUGCGAACUGCUCACUCUCAGUAGGCUUCAACAUCAGUUGCAAGGUCCAAGAUGGCGUCUCCAGACCAUUUAAAGGUGACUUUGAGGUUCUGGACAUUUCCUUGACUCAUGGCACGCUGCGGGUGUUCAAUUACAUCACGGCCUACUGUUACAAUGCCUCCACAACGAGCAUGAAGUUUUUCGGCCGUUACGACGGCUAUGUAGGUCGACCUUCCUCCCUCUACCGGCUCUCUGACGUUCAGAACAAGUUCACCGUCAUCGGGUGCAACGCCCUCGCAUUUAUAUCCGACUACAAUGGCACUGGCUAUCAGGGCUUGGGCGUCGCAACGUGCCGCAACUUGUCAGACUUAGCAGACGGAUCCUGCUCUGGCAUGGGCUGCUCCCAAACUGCGAUCCCAAAGAGGAUGUACUACUACGACACAACCUUCUUGAAAGGGGUCAACACAAGUGAAAUAUGGGAGUUCAACCCUUGCAGCUAUGCGGUACUGAUGGAGGCAGCGACAUUCAGGUUCAAUACUACGUACAUAAAUACCAACAAGUUCAAUGACACAUACAAUGGGCGAGUGCCUAUGAUUCUUGAUUGGGCUGUGAGAGAUGUGAAGUCAUGUGAUGUUGCAAAACAGAAUAACACGGGCACUUACGCAUGCCUUAGUAGCAACAGCGACUGUGUGGAUUCCACCAAUGAUCAAGGGUACACGUGCAAUUGCACCAAUGGUUAUGAAGGCAACCCUUAUCUUCAAGACGGAUGCAAAGAUGUUAAUGAAUGCAGUCACGGCCCAUGCCCUUCAGAUGGCUAUUGUCACAAUAUCGUUGGAGAAUACCGGUGUUCUUGUCGACUUGGAAAAAAAUAUGUCAAAGAAAGCAAUACAUGCAACCCUAAUACCGGCUUAAUAAUAGGAGUUAUAAUGGGAUUAUUUGGCGUAAUGGUUAUCAUCAUGAUCAUUGUCUUCUGGGGACAGAGGAUAAUUCAAACGGAAAAACUUAACAAAGUUAAGCAGGAGUAUUUUCGCCAGCAUGGAGGCUUGAUUUUGUUUGAUAGGAUGAAAUCAGAGCAAGGUCUUGCUUUUACUAUAUUUUCAGAAGCUCAACUCAUACGUGCCACCGACAACUUCAAUAGUAGCAGAAUACUUGGAAAAGGAGGCCAUGGGACGGUCUAUAAAGGGAUAAUAAACAACAUGCCAGUGGCAAUUAAAAGAUGUGCAGUGGUUGAUGAAAGGCAAAAGAAGGAAUUCGGCCAAGAGAUGCUCAUUUUAUCUCAAAUCAAUCACAAGCAUGUUGUCAAGCUCUUGGGUUGUUGUCUUGAGGUGGAAGUUCCGAUUCUAGUAUAUGAAUUUGUCCUAAACGAUACACUGUUCGAGCUUAUCCAUGGCAAGAACCAUGCAUUGCAAAUAUCCUUUAGUACUCUCUUAAGGAUUGCUCAUGAAGCAGCUGAAGGACUUAGCUUCCUCCAUUCAUUUGCAUCUCCCCCAAUAAUUCAUGGUGAUGUGAAAACUUCCAACAUCUUGCUUGAUGAUAACUAUAUGGCCAAAGUGUCAGACUUUGGAGCCUCCAUACUAGCCCCAUCUGACAAAGAGCAGUUUAUCACAAUGGUUAAAGGUACUUGUGGUUACCUUGAUCCCGAAUACAUGCAAACAUGCCAGUUAACGGACAAAAGUGAUGUGUACAGCUUUGGAGUUAUCCUUUUAGAAAUUCUCACGGGUCAGUUGCCACUAAAGCUCGAGGGGUCUGAGAAGCAAAGAAGCUUAGCAUUGAUUUUCUUGUCUGCUAUGAAGGAGAAUAACCUAAAUGAUGUGCUGGUUAGCCACGUUAAAGUCCAAGAAAGCAAGGAGUUGCUGGCAGGACUUGCAGACCUAGCUAAGAAAUGCCUAGAUAUGUGUGGUGACAACAGACCAUCUAUGAAAGAGGUCGCUGAUGAGCUCAACAGAUUGAGGAAACUUUCACUGCAUCCUUGGGUACGGCUCGAUGUUGAGCCGGAAGCAGAAAACCUUCUUGGACGAGAAUCUACUAGAGGGUAUGACAUAGAAUUAAGUGGGUAUCCUGUGGGUGAAAGUGAGAACCAACCCAUAAAUCCAAGAAGUUCCUAUUAUGCAAGGUGA
rnacentral:rRNA from 1 species